CUGAGUCAAGAAUCUAGACCCAGCUAAUAUGGGUACUUUGUAGGAGUCUCUCAAAAGGCUUCCACCACAGUGUCUCCUGGGACUGGUGCCGCGGACUAAGGCUUCACAUGGGAAGGAUUUGCUUCCAAGUUCACUCAUCUUCUCGUGAAAGAGAAAGACAAAUGUCAUCAAAAGUGAUAUCUGGAAAGUGAGAAGAGAGAGCGAGACCAGCCUCCCCACACCCUGCAACUACCCAGCUUCAGACACGACCAUCUGAACUGGACAGUGUGUUUUAUUAGCUGCUUUAACUUUCAUAGCAAGUUUUCAAGAUAACUGGAAGUCAAACCCAGGCCCCUUAGUGUUCUGUCCCGCUAACAGAUUGGAAAUAAUGGGGAAGAAGGAACGCCAGAUACUGCAUCAAGUGUCAAUGUCACAAGGCCCGGUGCUGAGCUUGGACUGAAAACACAAGUCAACAGAACUAGUUCCUCCUUCCACUGUGUUCUUAGGUGCUCACCACAGCAAUGGAUGAUACAACUAGAUGAACAAAGAAGGCUUCUGGUACCAAAGACAGCUUGACCAAGGCUGGAUGGUGGCCAGCUCACUAUCAUAGGGUCACACUUGGUUUGUGACCAACACCAGUGCUAUUGUCUGCUUGCCAUCCUUCUUGAACUCACUCUUGGGUCUGCACACACGGGACUGAAUGCCAACAUCAUAUAUAAAGAUUCACACGUAAGAGAGAGCUUGAAGGACCACUCAAGCAAAGACAGCCCUCUUUAUUGGGCAGAAGGUGGACCGGGUCUCUCAGGAUAACAACUGAAAACAGGGAACUACCUCUAGUAUUUGAAAGUUCUGAAGGGUUCACCUUUAAACACUCAAUUUCAUUGCCGGAGUUGACCUCUACGCCCAGGAAGUGAGACACAGACGAGGAGUCUCUGGAUUCUCUUUGG